CCUACGGGAGGCAGCAGUGAGGAAUAUUGGUCAAUGGGCUUACGCCUGAACCAGCCAAGUCGCGUGAGGGAAGACUGCCCUAUGGGUUGUAAACCUCUUUUGUCAGGGAGCAACGCCGGCUACGAGUAGCCGGACUGAGAGAACCUGAAGAAAAAGCAUCCGCUAACUCCGUGCCAGCAGCCGCGGUAAUACGGAGGAUGGGAGCGUUAUCCGGAUUUAUGGGGUUUAAAGGGGGCGUAGGCGGAAUGCCAAGUCAGCGGUAAAAUCGCGGGGCUCAACCUCGCUCCGCCGUUGAAACUGGCGUUCUUGAGUGGGCGAGAAGUAUGCGGAAUGCGUGGUGUAGCGGUGAAAUGCAUAGAUAUCACGCAGAACUCCGAUUGCGAAGGCAGCAUACCGGCGCCCAACUGACGCUGAAGCACGAAAGCGUGGGUAUCGAACAGGAUUAGAUACCCGAGUAGUC
rnacentral:rRNA from 1 species